AAUCCAAUGGUGCCGGACGGAGCCACGGCGCCGCUGCUAAACAGCCUCGGGAAGGAACUUGUUUGGAACAUGUGUACAUUUAUAGGUUGUUUUAGUCGUGCAACAGAAACCUCAGAUUGGACAGAUAG